rnacentral:rRNA from 1 species
AAUCAACGCUGGCGGCGUGCCUCAGACAUGCAAGUCGAACGAUUAAAGCUCUCUUCGGAGAGUGUAUAGAGUGGCGCACGGGUGAGUAACACGUAAGUAAUCUACCCUCGAGUGGGGAAUAACGUCCGGAAACGGACGCUAAUACCGCAUAAUGCAGCGGCACCGCAAGGUGACAGUUGUUAAAGGAGAAAUUCGCUUGAGGAGGAGCUUGCGGCAGAUAGGCUUGUUGGUAAGGUAACGGCUUACCAAGGCUACGAUCUGUAACCGGUCUUAGAGGACGGUC